rnacentral:SRP_RNA from 1 species
AGCUCACAACCCUGUAACUUUUGCUUCAGAACCAUGUCAGGACUGUAAAGUAGCAGCAUUACAGAAGCCUUAAGUAGCCAGGAUUGUGAGCCCUA